rnacentral:lncRNA from 1 species
GAGGAUAGGGAAGAAAAAGAAGGCGAUGAAUAUGUCGGAUGUGGUCGAAGAGCAAACUGAACAAUUUGUAUGUACGCGAAUUGCGAUUGAAGAGCAAAUUAAAGAGCCAGCAUUGUCUAUGUCAAAUGUGAACAUGAGCAAAUUGAACAUCCGUCACCCUCAUAACAACUGAUUCAUGAUUUUAGUCAUCUUGUCAAAAAAAAAA